rnacentral:lncRNA from 1 species
AGUCCACCAUCUUGCUCGUCACCAGCUCCAGGGCCCCAGGGUCCACGCCUUUGGGAGUCUCCCCCGACGGCACGGCGAACCCCCCACGAGGAGCCGGGGCCCGCUCCGGGAACUUUUCAAAGGGCUCCAGUUGCGGGCCGUAGACGGGGGAGCCCAGGACCUUGAGGGGGACGCCGCCACCGUACUUGCCCGACGCCUCCUCCGCGGCUCCUGGCGGCUUGGCCCGGAACCCGUUGCCCCGACAUUCGCCGUUGUCCGCGGCGGGGUAGGAGGCUCCGUCAGCCACGGGGGCCUUGGCGGGCUCGUACGCGUACUUGCGGUAGCGGCCCUCGGGCCCCUCGUCGGCGGCCUUGCGCUUCAGCGACAGCCCGGAUUCGGCACCCGGCGCGGCCGUGGGGAAGCCAUAGGCGGUGGGC